CGUGUAGCGGAGCGGCCGGCGCGAGCUGCAGGGCCCUUCCGCGAGGGGCCCCGGCUGGGUGGCCGGAUUUUCAGGCGCCGGAUCGCGGGUCCGGCGCGGCAAGCCC
rnacentral:tRNA from 1 species